AGCGGCGAACGGGUGAGUAACACGUGGGUGAUCUGCCUUGCACUUCGGGAUAAGCCUGGGAAACUGGGUCUAAUACCGGAUAUGACCUUCCAGUGCAUGCUGGUUGGUGGAAAGAUUUAUCGGUGCGAGAUGGGCCCGCGGCCUAUCAGCUUGUUGGUGAGGUAACGGCUCACCAAGGCGACGACGGGUAGCCGACCUGAGAGGGUGACCGGCCACACUGGGACUGAGACACGGCCCAGACUCCUACGGGAGGCAGCAGUGGGGAAUAUUGCACAAUGGGCGAAAGCCUGAUGCAGCGACGCCGCGUGCGGGAUGACGGCCUUCGGGUUGUAAACCGCUUUUGACAGGGACGAAGCGCGAGUGACUGUACCUGUAGAAUAAGGACCGGCCAACUACGUGCCAGCAGCCGCGGUAAUACGUAGGGUCCGAGCGUUGUCCGGAAUUACUGGGCGUAAAGAGCUUGUAGGCGGUUCGUCGCGUCGUUUGUGAAAACUUGGGGCUCAACCUUAAGCUUGCAGGCGAUACGGGCGGACUAGAGUACUUCAGGGGAGACUGGAAUUCCUGGUGUAGCGGUGAAAUGCGCAGAUAUCAGGAGGAACACCGGUGGCGAAGGCGGGUCUCUGGGAAGUAACUGACGCUGAGAAGCGAAAGCAUGGGUAGCAAACAGGAUUAGAUACCCUGGUAGUCCAUGCCGUAAACGGUGGGUACUAGGUGUGG
rnacentral:rRNA from 1 species